GUGAACGCUGGCGGUAGGCCUAACACAUGCAAGUCGAACGGCAGCACCGUAAGAGCUUGCUCUUACGGGUGGCGAGUGGCGGACGGGUGAGGAAUACAUCGGAAUCUACUUUUUCGUGGGGGAUAACGUAGGGAAACUUACGCUAAUACCGCAUACGACCUACGGGUGAAAGCAGGGGAUCUUCGGACCUUGCGCGAUUGAAUGAGCCGAUGUCGGAUUAGCUAGUUGGCGGGGUAAAGGCCCACCAAGGCGACGACCCGUAGCUGGUCUGAGAGGAUGAUCAGCCACACUGGAACUGAGACACGGUCCAGACUCCUACGGGAGGCAGCAGUGGGGAAUAUUGGACAAUGGGCGCAAGCCUGAUCCAGCCAUACCGCGUGGGUGAAGAAGGCCUUCGGGUUGUAAAGCCCUUUUGUUGGGAAAGAAAAGCAGCAGGUUAAUACCCCGCUGUUCUGACGGUACCCAAAGAAUAAGCACCGGCUAACUUCGUG
rnacentral:rRNA from 1 species